GAUGAACGCUGGCGGCGUGCCUAAUACAUGCAAGUCGAGCGAACGGACGAGAAGCUUGCUUCUCUGAUGUUAGCGGCGGACGGGUGAGUAACACGUGGAUAACCUACCUAUAAGACUGGGAUAACUUCGGGAAACCGGAGCUAAUACCGGAUAAUAUUUUGAACCGCAUGGUUCAAAAGUGAAAGACGGUCUUUCUGUCACUUAUAGAUGGAUCCGCGCUGCAUUAGCUAGUUGGUAAGGUAACGGCUUACCAAGGCAACGAUGCAUAGCCGACCUGAGAGGGUGAACGGCCAGACUGUAACUGAGGAACGGCACACACUCUGACGGGGGGCAGCGGUAGGGAAUCUUCCGCGAUGGAGGAAAGCCUGACGGAGCAACGCCGCGGGAGUGAUGAAGGUCUUCGGAUCGUAAAACUCUGUUAUUAGGGAAGAACAUAUGUGUAAGUAACUGUGCACAUCUUGACGGUACCUAAUCAGAAAGCCACGGCUAACUACGUG
rnacentral:rRNA from 1 species